rnacentral:lncRNA from 1 species
GGGGGACAGAUAUGAAGGCGAGGGACUGCAGAGGGGCAGUCCGUUCUUCAGGUCAUAAUCAGUGAAUCAGCUGCUUCCUGGACUCGCGCCGCGGGCUCUGUGAGAAGCCGCCUGCCCUCCCAGCUGCCUGCCCUCGCGGCCGCCCGCCUCCCUGGUUGCAGGUUCGCUCUGCAGCAGGAUGAUUGCCCCCAGGUCCCCCCAGCUGCUGUCCUCCGCAAGGUGAGGUUCUGCCCACAGAACCAUUCGCCGUUGCUAUUUCUGAAAUUCUACUCUCUGGGGACAUCGGCCUGACCCCAGGAAGCCCAGGAACAGCCACAUGACCGAGCACAGAGCCUCUGCCACCCUGACCUGGGCCAGGUCCAUCCUGUUGGAGGAAGGGGAGGGCCACUCCCCUUCCCUUGGGAACUGCAAGGUGCAGAGGAGAUUCCCAGGACAAACCCCGCUGAGACUUGAGAGACUGGGCACCCGGUACCACUGUGCUGGGCACGUCGUCCUGUUUCUUCCCUGUGUCUGUUUAAGGGACAGGCUCAGUCACACAGGGCCAGACGGUCUCAUAGGACAACUCUAGGAUUCUCAUGGAAUGGAGACUGCAGGCCCGAGGCCUCUGGUGGCCUCCAAGUGAGUCCAGAAGGGGGUGUUCACACAGCCUCUAAAAGAGGCCACGGGUGGACGCCUGCCCUUGGCUGGUCUGAUAUGCAAACGCAGGCGGCCUGGCCCGGAAGCACAACUGGCCCUCACGGCAGGCUGCUCUUGCCCUUCCGCUGAUCUUUGCUCCUCGCCCAAGGGUGGACCACAGGCCGCAGGACCCCAUCAAAUACGGCGUCUCAGUGCUCCAAGGGGAGCACUUGGAGUGGGCCGAGAACUUCUGCACUGGGACAAAGUGGGCCAAGG